UUCAUCAACAUAAGUAGAUAAAGUGCGAACGCCCUUCAGCCAGAGUUUCGUCGUCCUCUCACGUGCCGCGCAUGUGGAUUGAAAACAUUGUGUUCUUCGCGCACUGCGCGCCUCUUCUCCUCUGACGGUAUCCCAUGUGCCUCCUGCUGCGUUGUCUGCCGCGCUGCCUAUCUGGUAAACUUGUUUCUCUGUCCGGGACUAUCACAUGGCUCUUCUUACCGCUACCGUCUCUCUCUCUCUCCUUCUUUUGGACAAUGCUGCUUCUAAGCCUGCUUCACUGCCCUGCUCAGAUAUCCGGUUCUCUUCAUUCGUUGCUUAAACUGUGGCUUUGGGGUUUGCUCUUCUCUUCUCUUCUUCCGUGCCGCACAAGGCCCGUAUAGCCAGACAUCGGCCAAUUCUAGGUUUCAGUGGUCGAGAUCAGCUGCCGCCCGUUCGCUUCUCUUCCUCCUCCUCCGUUUUUUUGGAUCCUUUAGGUCCUCUAGAUUUACUAUUUUGCUCGCCGGAAAGUUGCAAACUUUAGUAAAGCCAGUUAUGUGGUUGUGUUUUUUUUUUCCUCAUUUUUUCCUUAUUUUAUCUUAUGUUAUGUUAUGUUAUCUUAUCUUGUGUUGCUUGAUUUGAGAAUAUUUUCUUGCAAGGUAUGCUCCGGCUCCCGGAAAGUUGCAAACUUUAGUAAAGCCAGUUAUGUGGUUGUGUGUUUUUUUUUCCUCAUUUUUUCCUUAUUUUAUCUUAUGUUAUGUUAUGUUAUGUUAUCUUGUGUUGCUUGAUUUGAGAAUAUUUUCUUGCAAGGUAUGCUCCGGCUCGUGUAUUUGGGAGACUUGGGUUCUGUUCUCUUACUGGUUCUAGCUACGUGUGCAUUUGCCAAGGAGUUGCCGUCUUUUACCUUUUUCCCCAUCCCGAACGCAGGCCUUCUGUUUUUUCUCUCGAACCAAGCUACCCAUGGAGCCUCUGCGUGUGUCUGAGAUCCAUAGUUCCCUUCCUCGGUGGACCUCUGUGAUCCAGGUCAUAGAGGCGUCUCAUACUAAAACUACCCGUGCAGGCCAUCCCAAAAGUUGUGGUACAGGUCUAAUUUUGAUUCAAAUGAUUGGAGCACACAGUUGGCAAGGACUUAAAAUUUAAAACUGGUUAUGAU